UAAGGAAUGCUAACACCGCAUUUACCAGGGAGAGCAGCAGCAUUGUUAGUAUUCAAUUUAGAAAUAGAACCGGCAGCUGAUUUCAAACAGUUACAGGCAGCCUGACGAUCAGGCGUCGUGGUGGCGGCACCAAGAAGCUUCUUCACUCCUGCACAGCAUGAUGGUGGAGGACUGGCAUUAUUAGGAGCUUCAAGAUAAGUAAGGCAUGGAGCCAAAUCACCGGAUACAGUUCCACAUGACAAAGCAGCUUCUGCCGUAGGCGCAAUAACUACCAUGCAGAUCACCAAAACAACACAUGCUAACUUCAUGCUUCUUGCCAUUUUUGUUUUCUUUCUUUUCUAUUCUUUUUCUUAGUUUGUUUGAUUGGUGACUGUAUUGUCUUUGUGGGAGGGGAUUUAUAAAGAAAAUAAGAUAAGGUAGAGUUAUGAAUUUUUGGUGAAUGUGCAUCAAGAUUUGGUAGUAGUUGUGGGUGGAAUUAAUGAUGUAUGGACACUUGUCUCACCAUUAUAAGUUAUUUAUUUAAUGAUUUGGUACGCCCUUAGAUUUGAUUAUAAUAAAAUUUAGAAUGAUAUUAAAAUUCUAUAAUCUUGACCCUCCUUUCAACUUUAUUUAAAACUUAUUAUCUCGAUGUCACACUAUAAGUGUAAUAUUUUUAAUGUAUAUAUAUAUAUAUAUAUAUAUAUAUANUAAUGUGUUCAAUUUUGUUUAUAUUAAGAGAUUUAGGUAUUUUUGAGGGAGGAUAUAGGAAUUCUAUUUGCAUAACUUUACAACUUUACAGACAUACAUCUUUUCUUAGGACUAUUUUGUGACCUUGAUUUCGAAAGUGGAGUCCUCUUUACGAUUAGGUGAUGUGUGUCCUAUUUCUUGUUAGGAAAAAUAAACAAUAGAGAAAAAAAAUGAAUACAAUUACAAUACAAGAACAUAACGUGGAAACUCUAAAAUUGGAGAAAAAAUCACGACAGUUGUAAAAUGACAAGAAGAGAAUAACAUUAUGUGAAAAUUGAUAUAACACAUAAUAUACCCUCAACUAAUUCAAGUCCCCGGUACACCCACACCCUUAAAAGUAAAUAUUUAUCUAGAUCUCAUAACACUCUAAUAUAAGAGUAUAAGAGAACAAAGAAAGUCAUAUACAUGCUUAAAGUGUUUUUGACGUGUGCCUCUUGGAAUAAAAACAUGAAUCAUAUAUAUAGCCUUGGACUCCAUCUUCCUUCAUAAAACCAAGCAAUGUGGGACUUCAAAGAACUUGUAAUAUAUAUAUAUAUAUAUAGAGAGAGAGAGAGUCAUAGUUUCUCUCUUCUAGAUGAAUGCAAGGUAAAAUGUUGCAGUGCAACGACUAGACCAAUGCAAGAGGAUGAUUCAUGUGAUGAUUUUGAAUGCUUUUGAAUGGUGCCCCUAUGGUGGGUCGUGGACGGUUAAGGUUUAGAGAGGUUGCUUGUUACACGAUGGUAGGUAAAAAUAUAAAAAAGAAGAAAAACUUUAAAAAUGGGGAAAAUUUAAUGUGUGAAAAUGUUUAUUCUAUUUAUAUCAAAUUAUUUGGUUAAAAUAUUUAAUUAUAACAUUAAAAGAUGAAUCAAAAAUAAAUAAAUAAAAUAUUGUAUAUGGAUUCUAACCUAAUAUAUUAUUUUGAUCUUGUGCCAUGAAUAAAAAUAUUUGAUUGUACAAUUUUUAAUUAAAACACAAUUGUCAAAAAUUAAAUGAAAAACAAAAAUAAUUAAUAAAAUAAUAGAAUAGAAAAUUUAUAAUUAUAAUUAAAAUUAAAAAAAUUCAAAUUAGCACUUUUGACUUUUUAUCUUUUUUUUUAAUAAUCACAAUGUAUUUUUUUACCAUUUUUUUUUUAAUAUUUUUUUAAUAAAAAGUAAAACAAAGUGAAAAUUAAUUACUUAAAAAAACUUAUAUUAAAUAAAAUGAAAUUAAUAAUAAAAUGAUAAUAAAUGAUUUUUUUUAAUAAUAACAAUAAUAACUAUAAUAAAUAAAAAUAUAAUAAUGUUAAUGGUAAAAACUUAAAUAAAUUUAGUAAUAAUAAAAUAACUCUAAUAUAAUUAUAUUGUUAGUGAAAAAAAUGUAAGGAAUAUAAUAAUGCUAAUAAGAUAAUCCUAAUCCUAAUAAUAAUAUAAUUCUAAAAGGAAAGACGCAAAAAGUCUAAAAAUAUCAAAAAGGAGAAAAAUACUAAAGAUGUGAAUGGUGGAACGCUAACUCAGAACGUCGCCCUUGUAACUCCUUAUACAUGCUUUUCUAUCAAUUGUGCAAUUAUAUUCAUUCGAAAUAAAGUGGCACUAAAAAAUAUAUGAAUGAUGAAUGAAAUUUGUGGUACGACAACCUUCAAUGGGAGUGUUGGUCUUCCAAUACAGGUUUUGAUCUCCUUAUAUAGAAAUAACUCUAGCCUUUUUCCUUGUGGAUCUUUUUUUCGUCCAGAAUCUUUGCACAAUAUGUUGGAUAUUUGAUUUGAUCCUUGAAUAUCUCUAACAAGAUAUGAUUUGUUUUUAAUUCAAAUUCAAAUUUAAAUCUUCAUUUAAAUCUGAAUUAAACUUCAUUCAACAGUCAAACAUAUCAUCCAAUCAUAUUGUUAAAUCAAUAACAAUAAAAUCUUUGAUCAAUCUUCUUAGAUCCUACUCCAAAACGCGUGUUAUAUCAUUGAAGCAUCGCGCACAUCAUGUGACUUUUUUCCAGCUUCAUACAACUUGAGCAACCUAGACCAAUCUUGAAUAUUUGGACACUUCUCCAAGUUAUUGUUUUACUAAAAUGUAGUCAAUCCGAAGGUCCAAUCCAAUAGGAACAACAAUCUCCCCCUUUAAAAAAAUUAUGGAAAAAUAACUCUUUAAGAUACAAAAACAUUUAUUCAAUUAGAACAAGUGACAACCAAUAGAACAAUUGGAUCUUCAAAACAUUUUAGCAGCAGCAACUUCCAUGUAUCAGAGUUAAGCACCAACAACAAUAGAAGUCAGAAGCAUUAACAUUCAGAUGCUAUCACAUAGUCCAUUCAGUUUGCUCCAAACCAAACUGACAAUUAUGCAAUCAGUCACAGAUUUAGUCAUGCAUGAAUCUAGUAUCUCAUAGUUACAAGUUGUUGUUUUGCUAAAAUGCAGUCAAUCCAAAGGCCGGUCCAACAGGAAUAACAAUUUUUUUAAAAUAACCAUCACUUUGCUAGAGAGAUAGAAAGAAUAUUGCAUCUAAAGCAUCAUGUCAUUAUUGUGGUGAUAAAGGUCACAUUAGGCCUCUUUCCCAUGUUAAGAAUGUCAAAGUUCCUAAUGGUACCGUGACAUGGAUACUAAGUUUCCUUAUACUAACCCUUGAAGACCCAUGUGCAAUUGGGUACCUAGUUCUAUCUAUUGAUAUUUUGUACAUGAUUGUUUAGGAAUCUUAAUGGAUUCUAACGACAAGUGAAGAAAGAUAUAUUCAAUCAUAUUUUAUUAAUUGCAUUGUACUUUUGCUAUAUUAGGUGUGUUGUUUGCUAACAUUAUUGUAAUUGCUCUGCCCUUAAUUCAUCUUAAUUUCUCUUAAUUGUUUUGUUUGCAUUGUUGUUAUUAAAUUAGUUUUUGUGGCAUUAAAUUUGUUUCCAUUAAACUCCCCUAAAUUAAAUGGUUUUUUUCAUUAAUUUUUUUUAAGCAUAAGAAAUUACAUAUAUCUAUUAGUUUAUUUAUUUUGAUGAUAUUAUAUUUGGAGUUAUUGAUAAAUCAUUUUACAAGCAGUUUGCUAGUAUCAUACAGGCAGUUUGAAAUGUCAUGAAUAGAAAAGUUCACCUACUUCGUAAAAUUACAAAUAAAGAAAAUCGAAGUUGGCACGUUAAUCAGUCAGAUAAAGUAUUACUUGAAGAUAUCCGCUCUAUAACAAUGUUUGAAAAGGACGGCUAAGAUCAUCUCCCUUUUUAUUGGACAGAGGAGGCAAAUACUAUAAAUUCAUAUGAAUUCCUCACUGUAUUUUUUAUUUUGUAUAAAAAUGUUCAUGUUCAAACAAUAAUUUAUCUAUUUACAAAUAAAUUUUGUAUCUUUUAAAUUUUAAGAUUUUAUUGAUAAUUUGUUUUUCAGGUAAAAAUCUGAUAAUUAUUUUUCUAGACGAUAAAGUGAUCAAAAUUAAAAUAAAAUUCAUCAAAUAACCAGGAAAUGAAACCAAAUUAUAAGAUUUCGUUAUAUGUAGAUACAAUCCAAAUCAGUCUAGUACAACAUGUAACAUGAGCCUUCAUCACUCUCAUUGGAUAUUAUUCUUAAUAAUAGUAUUUAUUGGCACUCUCAUAUACUAGUGAGAAGUUUCCAUAUGAUAACCCUGAAACCACACCAGCAUCUUCAAAACUUAACACUGUAAAUAUAAACAAAUAAAAAAAACAGUUAGUAAUUAAUUUCAUAUUUUCACAUGCUUCAAAAUAAACCAAGAGAGAAAUAAGAGUGAGAGUUAUAAUAAGACAUACGUGUUACAGUUGGUGGAGGUACUGAUCUUGUAAGGAAUGCUAACACCGCAUUUGCCCGGGAGAGCAGCAGCGUUGUUAGUAUUCAAUUUUGAAAUAGAACCGGCAGCUGAUUUCAAGCAGUUACAGGCAGCCUGACGAUCCGGCGUCGUGGUGGCGGCACCAAGAAGCUUCUUCACUCCUGCACAGCAUGGCGGUGGUGGACUGGCGUUAUUAGGAGCUUGAAGAUAAGUAAGGCAUGGAGCCAAAUCACCGGUUACAGCUCCACAUGACAAAGCAGCUUCUGCAUAGGCGCAAUAACUACCAUGCACAUCACCAAAACAACACAUGCUAACUUCAUGCUUCUUGCCAUUUUUGUUUUCUUUCUUUUCAAUUC
rnacentral:lncRNA from 1 species